UCCCCAGUUGCUCUGCCGGUAGGGGCCGCCAGACUUUGAAUCUGGAUUAGGGACGUUGGUUCGACUCCAACCUGGGGAG
rnacentral:tRNA from 1 species